CGUGCGUGCGUGUGCUGACCUUUCCACUUGGCCAACAUGCCUUUGUUUUUCUCAGCUCCUUCAAGUGGAUGGCUGUGGGAGGAGGAGCUACUAGGAGAGUAGGUUCUCAGGAAACAUUUCCCCCAAAGCCCCAGAGACACGGAGCCCACGAGACAUGAGAAAAUGAGGCUUAACCAGAAGGAGAGGUGUUCCAAGGGCAGUUCGAGGGGUGUGGGUGAGAGACAAGGAGAGACCCCUGGCAGAGAUCACUGUUAACCCUGGUGUGUGAGUGCCUGCGGGGGCAUGCUCCCGGGCAUCCUUGCCAGAUCAGCACCAUCAGCCUGGCACCUAGUGGGCAGGCUGAGCUUAUAAGGGCAGCCAAAGCUGGGUGGCCCUAGGCAAGUUGCUGCAUCUUGCCGGGACAUAUAUGGCUCAGAGUAGGCCAGGGUCCUGGGUUUGCAGUUGUGGGAUCAGUUCACUCUCUCUCCUGCCCAGAGGCGCCUGGUUGGGAGCUGUGGACUUUGGGGGCAGGAGCAGCCCCUCCCAGCACCUUGACAAUCACCCCCUUUCUCUUCUGAGUCUCAAACCUGCCUGUCCUGCACCCUGGCCUGUCCUCUGGAGGUUAUCUGAUGAGAGCCUAUUCUGAGGCGAGAAGUACCUGUGGGCACACUGGAGCACAGGCCUUGAUGUUUGCAGUGCUCCAGGCAAAAGGACAAAUGGAGGCCCAUAUACCAGAGUCUAAAUAUUAAACAACCAUAAAUCAAGCUGCUAAUAAAAUGUGUUCUAUCUUCCUACUGAACAAAUAAGCUUUCAUAGCAGUAAAAACAUCUGUAAAUCUAUGGUUUUUAUGUCUGAAAGUCAGCAGAUAUCCAAAAUGAUGGAACUUAAUAAUUAUCACUCAUGUCCAGGUGUUCAGUGACCUGAGGUUUAAGUGAGAGAAUGAAGACUUGCCUAAUGCCUAAGACAUUCUGUAUUUAUUCUGUAACAUUGAUUCUCCUCAUCUUUAUUCUAGUAAAACGACUGAUUAUGUUGUUACAGUCAAGACUUCUACACUAUUACUGUUCUUUUCAUGGUAAUGAUUCAAAAGAUUAGAAUAAGGCUGGACAUGGUGGCUCACACAUGUAAUCCCAGCGCUUUGAGAAACCAAAGUGACAGGAUUGCUU